rnacentral:rRNA from 1 species
GACGAACGCUGGCGGCGUGCCUAAUACAUGCAAGUAGAACGCUGAAGAGAGGAGCUUACUCUUCUUGGAUGAGUUGCGAACGGGUGAGUAACGCGUAGGUAACCUGCCUUGUAGCGGGGGAUAACUAUUGGAAACGAUAGCUAAUACCGCAUAACAAUGGAUGACACAUGUCAUUUAUUUGAAAGGGGCAAUUGCUCCACUACAAGAUGGACCUGCGUUGUAUUAGCUAGUAGGUGAGGUAAUGGCUCACCUAGGCGACGAUACAUAGCCGACCUGAGAGGGUGAUCGGCCAAAAUGGGACCGAGAAACGGCCCAGAAUUCUAAGGGAGGCAGCAGUAGGGAAUCUUUGGAAAUGGGGGCAAACCUGACCGAGCAAAGCCGCGGGAGUGAAGAAGGGUGUCGGAUCGUAAAGCUCUGUUGUAAGUCAAGAACGGGUGUGAGAGUGGAAAGUUCACACUGUGACGGUAGCUUAACAGAAAGGGACGGCUAACUACGUG